rnacentral:lncRNA from 1 species
CGACGUCUUAGGGCUCCCCUAAGGUCAUUCCAAUAUUCUAUGGAAGGCUCCCUAUGAAGACGUCGGUCUCUCUCUAGAGAGGUCCACCAAUACAUGGCAUUGCUUUGGAAACUAAGGGUUGCUAAGGGUACUUUCCUCUCUUCACUCACUCUAUGGCAAGCAAAGAGUUGCUCUACUUUCAUCUCCCAAUCUAGGUAGGCUUCUACAUCUUCCUUACCAUAGAAAUGGGGUAGGUCUACCCUUACUUCCCUUGGGCUCUCUUGCUCCCUUUGCCUAGUUCUUC